rnacentral:rRNA from 1 species
UGGAAUUGGUGGUGUAGGGGUAAAAUCCGUAGAGAUCACCAGGAAUACCCAUUGCGAAGGCGAUCUGCUGGAACUCAACUGACGCUAAUGCGUGAAAGCGUGGGGAGCAAACAGGAUUAGAUACCCUGGUAGUCCACGCCCUAAACGAUGUAUACUAGUUGUUGCUAAGCUAGUCUUGGCAGUAAUGCACCUAACGGAUUAAGUAUACCGCCUGGGGAGUACGGUCGCAAGAUUAAAACUCAAAGGAAUAGACGGGGACCCGCACAAGCGGUGGAGCAUGUGGUUUAAUUCUAAGAUACGCGAAGAACCUUACCCGGACUUGAUAUCUAACAUAUCAUCUACAGAUAGAAGAGUGUCUGCUUGCAUAAAUGUUAAGACAGGUGCUGCACGGCUGUCGUCUUCUCGUGUCGUGAGAUGUUGGGUUAAGUCCCGCAACGAGCGCAACCCACGUCAUUAGUUGCUAACAGUUCUGCUGAGCACUCUAAUGAGACUGCCUUCUUAAGGAGGAGGAAGGUGUGGACGACGUC